CUAGCAUUCUUUCUCCCCUAUCUACUUACGUUUUUUACUUUUCUGACGGGGUGGUUUUAGGAAAAGCCUCUCUGUAGCAAUCCCAGGGUCUUUCUUUGAAGCUCCUCAGUUGCCAAGUUAUUUGGGGAGGCUGGAGGGGCAGAAGGAUCAAAUCGACUCCCCCCCCCCCCUCCGCCCCCAGUCAUCCAAUAUAAGAGAAAUGUGGGUUGAGAAUCUUUAGUCUUUUAAAAACACUUGUUAAAAGUGUCUGAGUUGAGUUACUUUCUAAUAGGAUUUUUUGUAAAAGGAUGGCAGGCCGUUUGUGGGUUUUGGAGCAGGAAGGGAUUGAUUUUGAAGUUUUAUGACUGAUACUUUGAAAAGAAAGAGAGAACACAGAGAUCCAAUAAAGAAGAGGGAGGAUUUGCGGGAUGAGGGUACAAGAAUUAGGCUCCCUCUCCCAUUGUGAAAAGAGCGUUGGAUCUGUAAUGACAGUCUUAUUUGAAGGGGGUGGGGUGUACCAAUCAUUGCUCCCCAGCUGAAAUUAUUACUUCAACAGCGGCUUCCUCCGUGAGGAGGGAGCUUGGAGUGAGGCUGGCUUCAAUGAUUAUUUCCAAAAUGGAGUUUGGAAGGCUUUAGCCGUUAACCCCAACUCCAUGCCCUCCCCCACCCCCCAGCUUUUUUAAGGAAGGCCAUACUAUUGUUCCCCUGAGAAAAUAUUUGGGAGCUUCAAAGAUCAGGCAACCCAGCAGAUAAGGUUAGGGGGGACUAAAAAAUUGUUCCCCCUAGUAAGAAGUUUUGGGGGAGGCUAGAAUAAUAGAUCACUGACCAGAAGUGAGAGUUUGGAGGGUUUAAAAUAUUUAUUAUGUCCAUCCCAAGGAGAAGAGUUUGGAGGGCUAAAAUAAUUGCCCCCACCCACUGAGGAAGGUCAUCCAAGUCUCCAAAUGAGGAGUGAAACUAUGGCCCCUUCUUGAGUGCUUGGGGAGUUCUAGUGGCAGGCUUCAACCUUCAGCCUUACAAUCUCUGCAUGGGUUAUAGACUACUUACUGUAAUAGUGCUACAAAACAAAAACAAGUUAUUGCUAGAGCACUUUUGGCUUAGAUGGCAAUCUUUCCCCAUGGGAAAGGCUUAAAAAAAAAAAACCCUCAAAUCUUGAAUACAUCUCCUGAUAUCUCU